UACGGGGGGGGCAAGCGUUGUUCGGAAUUACUGGGCGUAAAGGGCUCGUAGGUGGCCUACUAAGUCAGACGUGAAAUCCCUCGGCUUAACCGGGGAACUGCGUCUGAUACUGGAUGGCUUGAGUUCGGGAGAGGGAUGCGGAAUUCCAGGUGUAGCGGUGAAAUGCGUAGAUAUCUGGAGGAACACCGGUGGCGAAGGCGGCAUCCUGGACCGACACUGACACUGAGGAGCGAAAGCCAGGGGAGCAAACGGG
rnacentral:rRNA from 1 species